UACGUAGGGACCAAGCGUUGUUCGGAUUUACUGGGCGUAAAGGGGCGCGUAGGCGGCGUGGUAAGUCACUUGUGAAAUCUCUGAGCUUAACUCAGAACGGCCAAGUGAUACUGCUGUGCUAGAGUGCAGAAGGGGCAAUCGGAAUUCUUGGUGUAGCGGUGAAAUGCGUAGAUAUCAAGAGGAACACCUGAGGUGAAGACGGGUUGCUGGGCAUGUCCUGACGCUGAGGAGCGAAAGUGUGGGGAGGCGAACAGG
rnacentral:rRNA from 1 species